ACUUGCCUGGUAAAAUAAAUUAAAAAACUACUCCACGGCAAAGACACCACUUUUCCUACACCUCUUGCUUCCGGCUCUAGUCCCAACGAAGCGGGCCAACUCAGAGAAUCUUCCCACUGCUUUAGACAGUGAUCUUACAGCAAUUACAAUGGUAAACAAUUUCAAUAUGACACAAACAACAUUAAAAAUAGGUGUUUUUAUUACUCACAAAUAUGAUUUCCCCAAUACACAGAUCAACACAAAGGGGAUGCAGAUGGUGAUUGUUUGAUGGAUGAGAUCCUGAGCUAUAUAAGCGGAUGGCUUGCACAUGAGGUGCAGAAAGAGCAAAUCCUCCAUGACUGCAAGGCAUGCGAGAGGCUGCUGGUCCACAUGGGUUCUGAGCAUAACUAUGCUAAAGGAUCUUCUGAUGCAACAACCUUUAUCAACAGGAAGUGCUACACUGAGGACACUAGACUGGUGGAGCCAUCUCAUCUGCUGAGGGUGAUGGUAACAAAAAUGGAGGACACAAUUGACAAAAACCUUGCCAGUUUUUGCCCAGAGACUUCUAUUGUGUCAGGACUAAGAGUCCUCUUACUUAGAUCUAGUCUAGUGCCUUUGAUUGCAUCCUGGAAGGCCGUGUCGAUGCAUGCCUACCCCCUCCAUAGGAAAAAAUAUAAAGAAAUACACCAUGUGUAGAAUGCGAGCGCAGCUUAGAAAAAUUGAUUGUGAAGUUAACGAACCAAAAACCACAGCACAGCGUAAACUGAAUUAUUUCACCGGAUAAUACAUUUUUGGGGGUGUUUUAUAAUAUCAGACAUCGGUAACUGUAUGGCGCCGUGUGCUGUAUGGGAAGUGAACAGAGUGUAUGUACAGUGUGGAGCCUAAAGUGUAUGAAGCCAACAAAAAGUCAGAGGAGGGGGGAUACUAAGAAAAAUAAACAGGGGAGCACACAGACCUGUGAUUUGUCCAAUUGUUUUUAAACAAUGGCAAAACAUUUUUUUCUUAAACAGUGUUUCUUCCUUUCACAUAAACAUGCAGUGGCUUUAGGUGAAGGUAUGGUAUAAGUGUAUUUGUAGGUACUGUUGGCAUAGUGUGCUACAGCAGCUCUAGUUAUUAUGGCUAUAUAUGUUGCUUUAAAGUUUGUGUGAAUGCAACUGUCUGUAGAUUGUAGUAGGCUAAUGUGUAUUGUAUGUAUUAGCAAAGUGCUGGAGAAAAGGAGACUGAGGAUAUGCCUGAGGUUCAAGAGACCGUCUCUGUGAUACCAGGAAGUGUCUAACUGUGGAGAAUAACUCCAUGACCUGCACAUUCAGAAGAGAUGUAUCAUUUCACCAUGACUCUGAAUGAGCUGGAGCCUGGCAUGGUGAGGCUAUUGGCAGCGUAAGAAUGCCAUCUAAGACCUGACGUCAGAGCCAUGGAGAAUGGAGACCUGGACGCAGCAAGUGUAGAAAAGGACAGACUAGAGGAAAAACAGAGAGCUGCACGCAAAUAACCUUCCAAGGAUGAAGAAGAGUGGUCAACCAGGUGUGUUCACUAUGCAACAGUAAUAAGUAUGCCCGGAAAUGUGAAUGUAUUGUCAUGUUAAUAUAUUCCAAUUUGAAUUCAAUUAUUUCUCUAAAACAUAUUUCUGUACCAUUUUAUUUUUUACUUUACAGGUGGUUUCGGUAGGAAAACAUCUCACUGGGAGGUGUAAUCACUGUUAGGAGGARAUGGAGAGAGUGGAACAUGUCCUAGUUCUUCGAGAUGAGAAUAACAGGUAGGAUUUAGAUUUUUCCUGUCUCUGGUACACACUCCAGUCCGGUUGGUGGCGGUAAUGGACCUUAAAGUUGGUUGCCCACUGUCAUAUAAAAACCACUGUCACGCCCUGUAGUAGGUCAGGGCGUGACUAGGGGGUGUUCUAGUAUGUCUAUUUCUAUGUUGGUGCUAAUAUGGUUCCCAAUUA